rnacentral:rRNA from 1 species
CCCUUAGAUGUUCUGGGCCGCACGCGCGCUACACUGAAGGGAUCAGCGUGUUUUCCCUUCCCGAGAGGGACGGGUAACCCGCUGAACCCCCUUCGUGGUAGGGAUCGGAGCUUGCAAUUGUUCUCCGUGAACCAGGAAUUCCCAGUAAGCGCAAGUCAUAAGCUUGCGUUGAUUACGUCCCUGCCCUUUGUACACACCGCCCGUCGCUACUACCGAUUGAACGUUUUAGUGAGGUAUUUGGACUGGGCCUUGGGAGGUUUCGGCCCCCCUUGUUGCUCGGAAAGACUCCCAAACUUGAGCGUUUAGAGGAAGUAAAAGUCGUAACA